rnacentral:rRNA from 1 species
AGUGAAUAGAUACCCGGGUAGUCCACGCCGUAAACGAUGCACACUAGGCAUUUGGAGUAUCGACCCUUCGAGUGCCGAAAGCUAACGCGUUAAGUGUGCCGCCUGGGUAGUACGGCCGCAAGGCUAAAACUCAAAGGAAUUGACGGGGGAGCCGCACAAGCGGUGGAACAUGUGGUUUAAUUCGAUACUAAGCGAAGAACCUUACCAGGGCUUGACAUCCUGGGAAUCUCCUAGAAAUAGGAGAGUGCCUUUUAGGAACCCAGUGACAGGUGCUGCACGGCCGUCGUCAGCUCGUGCUAUGAAGUGUCCCGUUAAGUCGGUUAACGAGCGCAACCCCUGCUGUUUGUUAUAUUUCUCAAGCAGGACUGCCGGCGUUAAGUCGGAGGAAGGUGGGGAUGACGUCAGGUCAGCGUGGCUCUUACGCCCUGGGCUACACACGUGUUACAAUGGAUAGUUACAAAGGGUUGCUAAGCUGUAAAGCGGAGCUAAUCCCAUAAAUCUAUCCUCAGUUCGGAUUGAGGGGCUGCAACUCGCCCUCAUGAAGUU